AACAAAACAGUGUAGUAGAGCUCCAAUGUUAAUUGCGCCGACAUGAAAAUUGAGUAAGGAGUGUGCCCAAAUCCUGAAAUUACCGGUGAACCACCUCAUUAUUUGCAAAUAUUUUUAUCGUUAAACAAUCUGUUGAGACACCGUUUAAUGUACGUUGGGGUUUGUAGCAACAGCGAAUGCACACAGCACCGUGUUUUCAUGUGAUGAAAUGACACAGAUGUGCACCGGAAAUACGACAAGAAAGGGUUAGCGUGGGAUAUGUCGGAACUCGUCUUUUUAUUUACGAAGAUUUCACGUAAACGGUAGAACAACGCAGCAGAUUCACUGUGAGUGUGCGCAAGCGAGUUUACUAGACACGGUGUUAUAAACUUUGAGCAAUCAAAAUGUUCAUCGAAACGCUUGAGUUCACAAUCCCGAUAGAUUUGUGUGACCUAUUUUCCACUUUGAAAAGGGGUCCACGAUCUAAUUUAGAAUUCCCGGCGUCUGUGAAUUCGUAUGGCACAACACAAGAUGCCAACAUUCAGGUAGCUCUAAGAUCAAACAAAUUGACUUUCAAAGUGGACGGUGUGUCGUCAAAUUCGAGUAUGAUCUCAAAGAGUGAAUGCAAGACAUUGAAAUUGUCUGUAUUCGAUGUGGACUGUUCAUUGUCUGGGGCAGAAUAUGAACAAGUUACUCAUAUGGUUUCACAGCCCAUUUAUUCAGCUCCUCAUGUUAUACCUGCCAAGAGAUCUCGAGAUCGUCCAUCACCAAUGAAAUCCCCUCCAUCCAAGACCAGCCGAAGUUCUUUCCAAGAGACAAAACAUCAAAACAUUCCUCUUCCAUCACCUGACCCAUUGCAAUCAAAAUCAAUGAGUGAAACUGUGAGUGUGAAACUGGAACCAGAUUUAAUAGAAAUUGAACCUGAUUCUGAACAAUAUGGAGAUGAAUCUAAUCAAAGUAUAGACAGGAGACAUAAUACACAAGCAGCAUUAGAUAGACUCUCUCAUCCACAAUCAUCACAUUCUCAAUCAUCAGCAUCUUCGUCCUCAUCCUUCCAUCAAAACGUUCCACAUGUGCCAGAUUAUGCCGAACCCAGUACAAGCCAAGGAGAUCAUCAUGGUGACCAAAAUAUAGACGACUAUGUAGUGUACCAACAAGAAGAUGAUGAUUAUGGGGAAGACAAUGAUAACAGCGCGCUGAUUUCGGAAAUGAUGGGCUUCGCGGUUAUGGCAGUUAUUACGAAGCUUGUUCAACCUAUAAGUCCUGGCGAGGGCUGUCUGAUCAGACGCUUCCAGUGGAAUCAGACCAGUCCUCCAUGGAUCCAGAUCAGUCCGUGUCCACAAGGAAUUUACCUGAACCAAUCGGCGGACUAUAUUACUGCCCGCAUUGUGACAAGGCGUUCACCAGUCAGGGCUCCAGGAGGAACCAUAUUGUGUCUGUUCAUGGGAAGGUGACCUUCCCGUGUGUUUGUGGGAAGGUUUACAGCUACCAACCUGGGCUUAUCAGACACAGAAAGACUUGUCCAUUUUGCACCUGAGAUGGAAUGUGUGGAUUUGUUGUUCCAUUGAAUAAAUAUUUGGUGAUCAUAGACUCUGGAAUGAAGGCACAUCCUGUUCAUGUCCUUUGGAAGGUCACGAUCCCAGUGUUUCAGCCACAGAUUCUGGGAUCAAGACACAUCUUGUUCAUGUCCUUGAGAAGGUCAUGAUCCAAGUGUUUCAACCAUAGACUCUGGGAUCAAGUAACAUCCUGUUCAUGUCCUUUGGAAGACCAUGAUCCCAUUGUUUCAGCCAUAGACUUUAGGAUCAUGUCUCAUUCUGUUCAUGUUCCUACAUGGGUCACAAUCUCCUGUUUUUAGUGAAGAGAUCAAGGCACAUGCUCUUCAUGUCCAGGGGAAGAUCACAGUCCUCUGUGUUUCAGCUAAACAGCUUCUGCAAAUAUCAAGUGUUUGAGUUUGGACUCGGUAACAUUGUAAUUCUUAAGGGCAUUGCUCUGUACUUCAGGUUAUUUCUGGGAACGUACUAUUGACACAAGUCUACACGUUCUGAUGUGACAGGACAAUAAACAAUCAUGGUCUCAGAUUUUCAAGGUUGUGGCAACUUUUCGAGAAGCCUUCAGCCCAAUCGCAAUGUCAACCAGUGGUAUGGUGCAAAAAUCAGAAAAAGGAACGAAAACUCACUUUCAUUUGACAAGAAUUUUGUCCAGUUUAAUAUUCCCAACCCAGGAAUGAUCAGUUCUAGUCAAGUUGGUGGUUCUCGAGCAGGUUCUGAACUCUCCGGGGGCUGUUACCCAUGUCCAGAGUGUGGCAAAGUGUUUGCCAGUACGGGAGCUCGGUGCAAUCACGUGGCAGCUGUACACAAUAAGAAAACCUAUAAUUGUGUGUGUGGGAAAUCCUAUGCUUACAAUACAGGCUUGUUGGCUCACAGGAAGAAUUGUCCUGUUGUAGCAAAUGCAGGGCCUUGAUUCAUUAGUUUAAUUGUUAGCGAAGUUGAUUUACAUCCUCAGUCUUUAGAACAAAAAAAGUUAUAAAGGUUCUGUGUGUGGCAAAUCUUUGGAAACAUUUUACAAGAACAUAUUCUGUCCAUCACUUGUAACAAUAAUACUGAUCACUUCAGCCUGUAGGGAUAUGUUUCACAAUUGCUUCAAACCUUUCUGAAGAACUGGUUUUAAGGCUGUGGUGAGAUUUCUUUCUCAGGAAGAUGUGUUGUGACGUUCUGGAAAAAACAUACGUGGUGUUUGCCAUAGUGGUGGUCUGAUUAAUUGAAAUAAUCGAAGAUUGGUCACAGUGACUAAACGACCUAGCAAUUUUCUCAUAAUCGAACACGAA